UGGGGAAUAUUGCACAAUGGACGGAAGUCUGAUGCAGCAACGCCGCGUGCGGGAUGACGGCCUUCGGGUUGUAAACCGCUUUUUCUCAUGACGAAGUUUUUUGACGGUAGUGGGGGAAGAAGCACCGGCUAACUACGUGCCAGCAGCCGCGGUGAUACGUAGGGUGCGAGCGUUGUCCGGAAUUAUUGGGCGUAAAGAGCUUGUAGGCGGUUUGUCGCGUCGAUAGUGCAAACUCAGUGCUUAACGCUGAGCCUGCUGUUGAUACGGGCAGACUAGAGGAAGGUAGGGGAGAAUGGAAUUCCCGGUGGAGCGGUGGAAUGCGCAGAUAUCGGGAGGAACACCGGUGGCGAAGGCGGUUCUCUGGGCCUUUCCUGAUGCUGAGAAGCGAAAGCGUGGGGAGCGAACAGG
rnacentral:rRNA from 1 species